CAGCACUCUGCUGAACCCACACGUGCAUCAAAGCUUGACGUAAGUAAAUUUUAUGCAUAAAGAACCGUUUAAGAUGCUGUUUUAAAUUCCCAAGAGCAGAAAAUCGUGCGCUUUACAAAUAUAUUUUAAUUUCUUAAUAAGUCAAUAUUUAAUAUAUGCACCCUAGUCAAUAUUUUACGCAUCUUUGCAUUCAGCUUAGUGCUAGGGCAUUCAAAUUUUAACAAUACGUUAUUUCAAUGGUUUUGCGUUUUUUUUAGGCACCUGUAUGUAGACAAGUAGACAACACAUUUUUAUGUUAAUUAUCUUUUGUAUUAGUUGUUUGUUUGGUCUGUGCAAUCUGUACGCUUAUAUGGUAUAAUUCCUUCUUCAAACACAUGUCUUGUGAGGCAGAUUCUUUGCAGGACCAGUCAAAGCUUAACCAAAGUCUUUUUGGCAAAGUUUUUAACCAAUGUUAUAUUGAUAUAGAAUAUAGGACAAUUGACCGCCAAGUGCAAAUUUGCUGUAAAUGUAUAUAUAGAAUAGAAAAACUACGUGAAAUGACGUACUGCAUGGUUAUUCAAACCACGGCUGGUACAGUAUACUCAAGAGGCGUCGCGAUGUGCAGUAAAGGUAUGUGGUUUGGUUGAUAGCUAUAUGUAUCUCGUAUGCAUGGACAGGACUUUAAACCUGUAGACUGUAUUUCAGUGCAGUUUUAUUUGUUCACACAGGAAUUCGUCUGGUUAUUAAGCCAUGAUAUAUGCAAUUAGCAAAGCUAUUUCAGACAUACAGCGAUGAAAAAUUAUAUCAUUAUGCUAUCAGUGUUUCUAACUUGUUACAGAACACCCUACGCCCUCGUGAGUUGUUCGAGAAAUUUGCUAUUGUGCGCUCAAUUUUCAGCCAUUCUGCUUCAUGUACAUGCUCCACAAAUUGGUACUGUCAAAUAAACAAGGU
rnacentral:lncRNA from 1 species